rnacentral:rRNA from 2 species
UAUAGGGUCCUAUAGGAUCUUGUAAUUGGAAUGAGUACAAUUUAAACCCAUUAACGAGGAACAACUAGAGGGCAAGUCUGGUGCCAGCAGCCGCGGUAAUUCCAGCUCUAGUAGCAUACAUUAAAAUUGUUGCAGUUAAAACGCCCGUAGUUGAAGCUUAGGUCCUUAUCAUCUAGUCUGCCUCACCGCUAGCACUGGUAUGAUUGGGCCUUUUUUCUUGGUAAACUGUUAUGCCCUUUAUUGGGUGUGGCAGUGAACUAGGACUUUUACUUUGAAAAAAUUAGAGUGUUUAAAGNAGGCUUUUGCUCGAAUACCUUAGCAUGGAAUAAUGGAAUAUGACGAGUGGUUGUUUUUCAUUGGUUUUCACGACUACCGUAAUGAUUGAUAGGGAUGGUCGGGGGCAUCGGUAUUCGAUC